AGCAUUGGUGAUAGUUUGGUUCAAUGAAAGCAAAGGCAAGGAAAACAGAUGGCAAACUAAUACUCUUUUGCAACCCAGAACUCAUUGUUCAAUAUGAGUUUUGAUACAAACAAGAAAAAGUGUGCU